AUUGAACGCUGGCGGCAUGCUCUACACAUGCAAGUCGAACGGUAACAGGCCGCCAGGUGCUGACGAGUGGCGAACGGGUGAGUAAUGCAUCGGAACGUGCCCAGUCGUGGGGGAUAACUACUCGAAAGAGUAGCUAAUACCGCAUACGAUCUAUGGAUGAAAGCGGGGGACCGUAAGGCCUCGCGCGAUUGGAGCGGCCGAUGUCAGAUUAGGUAGUUGGUGGGGUAAAGGCUCCCCAAGCCAACGAUCUGUAGCUGGUCUGAGAGGACGACCAGCCACACGGGGACUGAGACACGGCCCAGACUCCUACGGGAGGCAGCAGUGGGGAAUUUUGGACAAGGGGCGCAAGCCUGAUCCAGCAAUGCCGCGUGCAGGAAGAAGGCCUUCGGGUUGUAAACUGCUUUUGUACGGAACGAAACGGCUCUGGUUAAUACCCGGGGCUAAUGACGGUACCGUAAGAAUAAGCACCGGCUAACUACGU
rnacentral:rRNA from 1 species